rnacentral:rRNA from 1 species
UACGUAGGAGGCAAGCGUUGUCCGGAAUUACUGGGUGUAAAGCGCGUGUAGGUGGUGGGCCAAGUCUGUGGUGAAAUCGCCCGGCUCAACUGGGCGGGGUCCGUGGAAACUGGUCGACUGGAGGACGGUAGAGGCGAGUGGAAUUCCCGGUGUAGUGGUGAAAUGCGUAGAUAUCUGGAGGAACACCGGUGGCGAAGGCGGCGUCCUGGACCAACACUGACACUGAGGAGCGAAAGCCAGGGGAGCAAACGGG